GGGAAAGGUGAAAAGAAC
rnacentral:misc_RNA from 1 species